AUGAAACUCAUCAAACGGGCUGCGCAAUAUGCUAAUUGCCGUAUACAAUCAGUUACAGCUGAGGUGCUACUGCUAGCCAGCUGCGAUGACAACUUACUUCCGAGCAAAUCUGAAGCCUACAGGCUACAGAACAAAAUACCUAAAUCCAAAAUCUUCUUCUUUGAGAAGCAUGGGCACAGCUUACUGUUGGAGCAUGGUGUCCAUGUCUCAUCCAUCAUCAAAUGUGUUGGUCUCUACCGCCAUUCGAGGCGCUAUCAUCGGGUUUUCGACUACAUCCCACCGUCCGCAACCGAGCUAAAUGAAGUCGACAAAGCUAGCAGGUAA
rnacentral:rRNA from 1 species